ensembl:lncRNA
CCAGACCCAUAGAGCCAAUGGGACCCAUAGAUUGGGACCCACAGAAUGAAUGGGACCCAUAGAAUGAAUGGGACCCACAGAAUGAAUGGGACCCACAGAAUGAAUGGGAACCCAUAGAGUGAAUGGGACCCAUAGAAUCAGCCCCACAGAACCAGACCCACGGCGCCAGCCCCAUAGCAUCAGCCCCAUAGAAUCAGUCCCACAGUGCCGGACCCAUAGCGCCAGACCCAUCGUGCUGACCCACGGCGCCAGACCCACAGCAUCACCCCAUAGAGCCAGACCCACAGCAUUGGACCCAUAGCGCUGACCCACAGAACAGCAACUUCAGCAGGCGGAACUGCAAUGACCCACGGCGCCAGACCCAUAGAAUCAGCCCCACAAAGCCAGCCCCAUAGAGCCAGCCCCAUAGAAUCAGCCCCACAGCACCAGACCCAUCGUGCUGACCCACGGCGCCAGACCCACAGCAUCAGCCCCACAAAGCCAGCCCCAUAGAGCCAGCCCCAUAGAAGCAGCUGCAUGGCACCAGACCCAUAGCAUUAGAACCAUGGUGUCAGCCCCAUAGCGCUGCCACCCAUAGGGCACCAAACUGCCCCAUAGGGUGCUGUGACCCAUAGGGUGCUGUGACCCAUAGGACCCAUAGAGCUGUGUGCCCCAUAGGGUGCUGUGCCCCAUAGGACCCAUAGAACACUGUGACCCAUAGAAUUCUGUGCCCCAUAGAACACCAUGACCCAUAGGACCCAUAGAGCUCUGUGCCCCAUAGAACACUGUGACCCAUAGAGCUCUGUGCCCCAUAGAACACCAUGACCCAUAGGACCCAUAGGGUGCUGUGCCCCAUAGGGUGCUGUGCCCCAUAGGACACCAUGACCCAUAGGACCCAUAGAGCUCUGUGCCCCAUAGAGCUGUGUGCCCCAUAGGGUGCUGUGCCCCAUAGAACACCGUGACCCAUAGAGCUGUGUGCCCUAUAGAGCUGUGUGCCCCAUAGGACCCAUAGAGCUCUGUGUCCCAUAGGGUGCUGUGACCCAUAGAACACUGUGACCCAUAGAGCUGUGUGCCCCAUAGGGUGCUGUGCCCCAUAGGACCCAUAGAACACUGUGACCCAUAGAAUUCUGUGCCCCAUAGAACACCAUGACCCAUAGGACCCAUAGAGCUCUGUGCCCCAUAGAACACUGUGACCCAUAGAGCUCUGUGCUCCAUAGAACAAUGUGACCCAUAGGACCCAUAGAGCUCUGUGACCCAUAGAACACUGUGACCCAUAGAAUUCUGUGCCCCAUAGAACACCAUGACCCAUAGGACCCAUAGAGCUCUGUGCCCCAUAGUGUGCUGUGCCCCAUAGAACACCAUGACCCAUAGGACCCAUAGGGUGCUGUGCCCCAUAGGGUGAUGUGCCCCAUAGGACACCAUGACCCAUAGGACCCAUAGAGCUCUGUGCCCCAUAGAGCUCUGUGCCCCAUAGUGUGCUGUGCCCCAUAGAACACCAUGACCCAUAGGACCCAUAGUGUGCUGUGCCCCAUAGAGCUGUGUGCCCCAUAGUGUGCUGUGCCCCAUAGAACACCGUGACCCAUAGGACCCAUAGUGUGCUGUGCCCCAUAGAACACCGUGACCCCCAUAGGACGCCGCGACCCAUAGCCGCACUGGAAGUAAUGCCCCCACCGCAGCCGUGGGGCGCCCCCUACCGGCGGCACCGGGAACGGCCGCUGCCCCACAUCGCCCCACUGCCAUCCCUGCACUGCCCACACUGCCCCCCACCCCAUUGCCCCCCAUCACCCCC